CACUCAAUGUGCAUACUGGGAACCAAACUCAGGGCCCUCUAGAAGAGCAAGCUCUCCUGACUUCUGGGCCAUCUCUCCAGCCCUUUAGCAGUUUGUGUGGGAAACUGAUGACACCUCGGUGGCAAGUUAGUCAGAUUAGCUGUCAACAAGUGUGACGGUCUGUGUAUACUUUGUGCAGGGAGUGUCACUAUUAGAAGGUGUGGCCCUGUUGGAGUAGGCGUGCCACUGUGGGUGUGGGCUUUAAGACCCUCAUCCUAGCGGCCUGGAAGUGAGUAUUCUGCUAGCAGCCUUCAGAUGAAGAUGUAGAACUCUCAGCUCCUCCUUCACCACGCCUGCCUGGAUGCUGCCAUGUUCCUGCCUUGAUGAUAAUGAACUGAACCUCUGCGCCUGACUGAGUCACUGGAGCAUCUAUCUGCACGCUGCGGUUUCGACUUUCCCCCAAGUGCAUAGCGGUAUGUCAUCUGAGAG
ensembl:processed_transcript 1810059H22Rik RIKEN cDNA 1810059H22 gene